UACGGAGGGUGCAAGCGUUGUUCGGAAUUACUGGGCGUAAAGAGUGUGUAGGCGGUGUUCUAAGUUUGUCGUGAAAUCUCCCGGCUUAACUGGGAGGGUGCGGCGAAAACUGGAAUGCUAGAGGAUGGGAGAGGUAAGCGGAAUUCCUGGUGUAGCGGUGAAAUGCGUAGAUAUCAGGAGGAACACCUGUGGUGUAGACAGCUUACUGGACCAUUUCUGACGCUGAGACACGAAAGCGUGGGUAGCAAACAGG
rnacentral:rRNA from 1 species